AUUGAACGCUGGCGGCAGGCCUAACACAUGCAAGUCGAACGAGUGGCGGACGGGUGAGUAAUGUCUGGGAAACUGCCUGAUGGAGGGGGAUAACUACUGGAACCGGUAGCUACUCCCGCAUACGCUCCUAUCUUCCCAGAUGGGAUUAGCUUGUUGGUGGGGUAAAGGCUAACCAAGGCGACGAUCCCUAGCUGGGCUGAGAGGAUGACCAGCCAAACUGGAACUGAGAAACGGCCCAGAAUCCUACGGGAGGCAGCAGUGGGGAAUAUUGCACAAUGGGCGCAAGCCUGAUGCAGCAAUGCCGCGUGUAUGAAGAAGGCCUUCGGGUUGUAAAGUACUUUCAGCGGGGAGGCGUUACCCGAAGAAGAAGCACCGGCUAACUCCGUGCCAGCAGCCGCGGUAAUUC
rnacentral:rRNA from 1 species